UACGUAGGGGGCAAGCGUUGUCCGGAUUUAUUGGGCGUAAAGAGCGUGUAGGCGGCCAGACAGGUCAGCUGUGAAAACUCGAGGCUCAACCUCGAGACGUCGGUUGAAACCGUUUGGCUAGAGUCCGGAAGAGGAGAGUGGAAUUCCCGGUGUAGCGGUGAAAUGCGCAGAUAUCGGGAAGAACACCCGUGGCGAAGGCGGCUCUCUGGGACGGUACUGACGCUGAGACGCGAAAGCUAGGGGAGCGAAUGGG
rnacentral:rRNA from 1 species